AUUGAACGCUGGCGGAAUGCUUUACACAUGCAAGUCGAGCGGCAGCACGGGGGCAACCCUGGUGGCGAGCGGCGAACGGGUGAGUAAUACAUCGGAACAUGCCCAGUCGUGGGGGAUAACACUUCGAAAGAAGUGCUAAUACCGCAUACGUCCUGAGGGAGAAAGCGGGGGAUCUUCGGACCUAGCGCGAUUGGAGUGGCCGAUGUCAGAUUAGCUAGUUGGUGGGGUAAAGGCCUACCAAGGCAACGAUCAGUAGCUGGUCUGAGAGGAUGAUCAGCCACACUGGGACUGAGACACGGCCCAGACUCCUACGGGAGGCAGCAGUGGGGAAUUUUGGACAAUGGGGGCAACCCUGAUCCAGCCAUUCCGCGUGAGUGAAGAAGGCCUUCGGGUUGUAAAGCUCUUUCGGCAGGAACGAAACGGCGAGCUCUAACAUAGCUUGCUAAUGACGGUACCUGAAGAAGAAGCACCGGCUAACUACGUGCCAGCCGCCGCCGUAAUAC
rnacentral:rRNA from 1 species